AUUGAACGCUGGCGGCAGGCCUAACACAUGCAAGUCGGGCGGAGGAAGGGAGCUUGCUCCUGGAUUCAGCGGCGGACGGGUGAGUAAUGCCUAGGAAUCUGCCUGGUGGUGGGGGAUAACGUCCGGAAACGGGCGCUAAUACCGCAUACGUCCUGAGGGAGAAAGUGGGGGAUCUUCGGACCUCACGCUAUCAGAUGAGCCUAGGUCGGAUUAGCUAGUUGGUGGGGUAAAGGCCUACCAAGGCGACGAUCCGUAACUGGUCUGAGAGGAUGAUCAGUCACACUGGAACUGAGACACGGUCCAGACUCCUACGGGAGGCAGCAGUGGGGAAUAUUGGACAAUGGGCGAAAGCCUGAUCCAGCCAUGCCGCGUGUGUGAAGAAGGUCUUCGGAUUGUAAAGCACUUUAAGUUGGGAGGAAGGGCAGUAAGUUAAUACCUUGCUGUUUUGACGUUACCAACAGAAUAAGCACCGGCUAACUUCGUG
rnacentral:rRNA from 1 species